rnacentral:lncRNA from 1 species
UCCAGGGUAAUGCUUGUUUUAUCAUUUUAUAAAGGAUGAUUUAUCCUAUAAAGGAAAAGACUGAUGACAACGCCUAUCUAUAUGACGCCUAUCUAUAUGACGUACUAAAUCCAAGUUAUUAAUUUAUUCUAUAGAAUGUUUCACUAAUAUUCCUCCAUUUUUUUCUACUUCGUAUAUUUUUUUUUCGCCAUUUCUUCUUGUUUUAUACAGAAUUUACAAGAUAUAAAAACGCUUCAUAUGUGAUUUAGAUCAUAACCACUUUUAAUGUUUG